GAAAUUGCUUUCUUUUAAUUUUGUAUGUACAUGCAUCUGUUUCAUAAUUAGGUCUGUAAUCAGUCUUCCCAUGAACAUAUUAAUGAAGCAGUAGAGACAAAAAUAAGGAAGAUUUCAUCCCUCAAACCAAGGAUUAGUCAUGUCUUAUCAUUACAAUGAAGCCUUUGAAAAUCCAGACUACCACUUCUCAGAGACACUGGAAAUUGAUAGAAGGAGGAGUUCUCAAAAGAAUCUGUUCUCUCACCAAACCCCUGAUGAUUCUUCACUGCAUGAUUCCUAUGGAGAACACAGUGGAAGAGGACAGAAUUAUCUUCCAGCCAUACCAAUGGCCUCCAUGAGACAUGGCUCUGAAUACAGAGAAGGUUUACCAAGAGUUAAUGUCCUAAGCAGAAGUCCAUAUGGAAAUUCCAUGGAUAAUCUUUCCUUUGAACCUGAGCCAGAACUGGCAUACAGCCCCCCUUCUACCUUCCAUCCGCUGGAUCGCCCCUCUGCCCACAGAAUUUCCAGUGUAUCAGAAGAUAGCUUUAUUCAGAGACACAACAGAAGACCACCUGAUGAGAUCUUCGUGACUUCUUCCAGC
ensembl:lncRNA